UGGUGCUGGCCCUUUGAUGCUGCUCGAGUCCUUGACCCUCUGAGCCUCAGUUUUCAAGAUCUGUGAAGGUGGUUAUGACCACC